rnacentral:rRNA from 1 species
UACGGGGGGGGCAAGCGUUGUUCGGAAUUACUGGGCGUAAAGGGUGCGUAGGCGGGUCUUUAAGUCAGGGGUGAAAUCCUGGAGCUCAACUCCAGAACUGCCUUUGAUACUGAAGAUCUUGAGUUCGGGAGAGGUGAGUGGAACUGCGAGUGUAGAGGUGAAAUUCGUAGAUAUUCGCAAGGACACCAGUGGCGAAGGCGGCUCACUGGCCCGAUACUGACGCUGAGGCACGAAAGCGUGGGGAGCAAACAGG